CACGCCCAUGUAAUCAUGUAUUCACGACGUGCAGACCUAUCACCAAAUGUGCAUACAGCUUACUGCAUUUUUAAGACAAAACACCCUGAAAUGGGAUGAAAGUGCAAAUACAAGCAAACAUGACAAUGUUUCACCUCCAGGUUAUCCAGAUAUACCAGUUUGACGGAAGCCGCUAUCUGCGUAUUAUAUCUAGCGCUAGUUGUCGCCUUUCAGAGGCAAUAUUUGCUCAACCUGGACCCUGUAAUCUGCAAUAUGGGUACACCUGUCCGGAUUUGAUUUUACAUCUCUCCAUUCAAUAAUAUUAAUAUAUUC